UGGGCUGUGGCCCAGUGGUAAAGCACUUACCUUGCAGGUAUGAGGCCCUGGGUUUGAUCCUCAGCACCACAU
rnacentral:tRNA from 1 species